AUUGAACGCUGGCGGCAUGCUUUACACAUGCAAGUCGAACGGCAGCACGGGAGCAAUCCUGGUGGCGAGUGGCGAACGGGUGAGUAAUAUAUCGGAACGUGCCCAGUAGUGGGGGAUAACUGCUCGAAAGAGCAGCUAAUACCGCAUACGACCUGAGGGUGAAAGGGGGGGAUCGCAAGACCUCUCGCUAUUGGAGCGGCCGAUAUCAGAUUAGCUAGUUGGUGGGGUAAAAGGCCUACCAAGGCAACGAUCUGUAGUUGGUCUGAGAGGACGACCAGCACACUGGGACUGAGA
rnacentral:rRNA from 1 species